rnacentral:ncRNA from 1 species
CUCUGUCGUCUCUUCACAACGGAUCGUCCGGCACGUACCUGCCGGUGAGAGAGGAAAAAA